rnacentral:lncRNA from 1 species
CAGGAAGCGAGGGGAGUGCGGCCCCUUUUUGAGAAGAGACUUUCUAUCCUUUCUGUCGUCGUUCCGUACUGGAAACCCCUGGGCCGGCAGAGUCCUCCGCGGGGUCCUGGUCGCUGCACCCCGCAGGGUUCAACUGUGGCUCACGGCGGGCUGCGGGCUAAGCCUCUGACCGCUGGGAACAAGGGGAGCCUCUCCCGGCGCCUCCCCUCCGGGCCUUAGGGGCAUCUGGGCCCGGGGUCCCUGCCCUGAGCGGAAGUCACUGCAGCAAACCCGCUUGCUGCGUCCUCAGUCUGUCCCUCGGAGCCGACGCCUGCACCUCAGCCUGCACCCCCACAGCCCGCCCCUUCGCCUUUCGGGCUCCUCGCGAAGAUCCUUCAGAAUCCUGGACGCCGUCCGGUGCCCACGUGGGGGCACCCUGAAAAGCUGAGGUCUCCAUCUGAUUAUCACACCAAACAAAAUGAACAAUACUCCCUGAAUAAUAUCCAGGAUGCCAGGGAUCCUCUCCAUCCCUCCUUCCUUGAAGGGCCAUUGGGUUGGCUGUGUGGAGACAGGGAAGACUGCAGAGAGCACCAGGCCUCUGUAACCAAGAGACUCUCUCAUAGCCGCCAGUCCCCAGGGACAGGUGAGGAUUUCUUCUGCCGGAGUAAGAAGAGCCAGCGGACAGGCCACUUAUUCAUUACCUCCUGUUGCUGGAGAAGCCUAGGGGGACCCCAGGCUUUGAAGACCAAGCCUGCGAAGUUGAAGUCAGGACCUCCAGGCUGGGAAGAGCGGGGGAUACCCUGGCCUGAGGCCCUUCUGGAGGAACCCCCCCCCAUCGUGAGCUUUGGGGGGAGUCUGUUCAGCCCCACCCUUCCUCCCCCACUCCCCACAGCCCUGCCCCGCCUUCUUUCUUUGGGAGCCCCAACCUCUCCAAAAACCCCAACUCCUUCUCUCCAAGAGCAACUCCAAGCAGCUCUGGCUGGCUGGUUGUGGAAGCAGCUUUGACUGAUCUCCCCACGCUCAGCCCUCCAGCCUUGCGCCCUAGGACCCGGGGAGAAGCAGCGGGAGCAUCUCCAAGAAGCCCUCACAUACUUCAUCUCCAAACUACACCUAGCUCAUAAAAGCCAGCGCAUGCAAUAAAUCCUCUCCUGCAGGACAAGGUUUUAAUUAAUUAU